CUACGGGUUGCUGCAGGCGCGAAACCUUUACAAUGCACGCAAGUGUGAUAAGGGGAUCGCAAGUGCUCAUGCAUUGCAUGGGCUUUUGCCAAGACUAAAUACCUUGGCGAAUAAGUGGUGGGUAAGACUGGUGCCAGCCGCCGCGGUAACACCAGCGCCACGAGUGGGAAUCACAUUUAUUGGGCCUAAAGCGUCCGUAGCCUGUCUGAUGAAUCUCUUGUGAAAUCGUUCGGCUUAACCGAACGGCGUGCAGGAGACACUGUCAGACUAGAGACCGGGAGGGGUCGGAGGUAUUCCAUGAGGAGCGGUAAAAUGCUAUAAUCCAUGGAGGACCACCGGUGGCGAAGGCGUCCGACCAGAACGGAUCUGACGGUGAGGGACGAAAGCCAGGGGAGCAAUCCGGAUUAGAUACCCCAGUAGUC
rnacentral:rRNA from 1 species